AGCGAACGCUGGCGGCAGGCUUAACACAUGCAAGUCGAGCGGGCCCUUCGGGGUCAGCGGCCGACGGGUGAGUAACACGUGGGAACGUACCCUUUGGUUCGGAAUAACGCUGGGAAACUAGCGCUAAUACCGGAUACGCCCUUUUGGGGAAAGGCUUGCUGCCGAAGGAUCGGCCCGCGUCUGAUUAGCUAGUUGGUGGGGUAAUGGCCUACCAAGGCGACGAUCAGUAGCUGGUCUGAGAGGAUGAUCAGACACACUGGGACUGAGACACGGCCCAGACUCCUACGGGAGGCAGGAGUGGGGAAUAUUGGACAAUGGGCGCAAGCCUGAUCCAGCCAUGCCGCGUGAGUGAUGAAGGCCUUAGGGUUGUAAAGCUCUUUUGUCCGGGACGAUAAUGACGGUACCGGAAGAAUAAGCCCCGGCUAACUUCGUG
rnacentral:rRNA from 1 species